UCCCCAAGGCGCUCGUCCAGCUGCUCUUUGUGGCGAUCGGUCCCGUGAGAUGGGAGUCGGCAUGUGUGACCGCGACAGGGCGAGAGCGGGCCCUGCCUGUGUGUCCGUGGGCGAGUGUGGGGGAGACUCCACCCCGCUGCACCUGACCCCGGGAGAGGGGUCACCGAGAGGCUGCCCUGCGGGCUGCUGUCCCCGGAUCCUGGCUGCAGGACCUGAUCAGGUGGCUAUAGAGCGGCUCAGUCUUUCAGGCAACUCUGGGGGUCACCAUGGAGACCCUGGCCCUGGAACCAGCGCAGGCAGGUACACCUUGGCUUCAUCUCAAAGAGUGGCGGAUUUGCACCCGAGGAGGAUGCCUCUCAGAGCGGUCAGGCCAGAUCACCCGAAACAGCAUCACAUCUGGCUUGCUUGUCUCAAUCAAACAUGCGGAUGGGAAAGGAAAGGCCACGUUUUCCCUCCGUAACUGAGAUGUUUGGACACUGAGAGGCGAUGUCGACCCUGAGACCGUAUUAGAUUGUGCCAGAUCUGAGGCCCUCUCCCACCCUAUACCUGCCCGGUCUUCUCCGACUUCCGAAUGUGCCGCGGCUCCGGACCCUGCUCUUUCUCCCAAAGAGACUCCCCAGGAUGAGUCAGAUUGGGGACCCCUGGAAGCCAGAUCUGAGGAACCGGUGACUUUCAAGGAGGUGGCUGUAGACUUCACCCAGGAGGAGUGGGGUCAGCUGGACACUCCUCAAAGGGCUCUGUAUAAGGAAGUAAUGCUGGAGAACUACCAGAACCUUCUUGCUCCGGGUAGGCUGGCUCCUCCAAAUCUGGGUGUCUGCUGCUGCCAGCCCUUCUUCCCACAUCGUGUUAGGGAAGAGCCAGAGCUGGUGGAUCCUGGCUUUGAGCUGUGACUGGUCCCAGAGCCAGGCCAUGUGAGAGAGGCCUGCCGGGGAGGUAAGGUGAGGGCUAGGAGCCUGAGUCUGUUUGCCUCAGAGCUUUUCCAGGUGACCAAGGCGGGUGCCGGGUAUGGACUCUUCAGUGAUUUGGGGCCCACAGGUCUCAUGUUCCUGGUGAUGGCAUACACACCCCUUUAGGGUUGUGUGUCUCUGUUCUUGGGCUGUCCUCCGGGGUUCCAAGCAGAGCCACAGCACAUCCAGUCCUGCUGCUUUUCCCCCUAGCAGCAGGGCCUCCACCCCACAAACCAGAUGUGAUCUCCCCGGGAAGAGCUCAGGAAAAGCCCGAGAGAGGUUUGUCCAGGUGAGCGUGUGCGCCUUCCCCAUCCCCCAGCCAGCCCUUCCUCCCCAGCUGUGUGCCAGCUGUGUGCCAGAGAAUAGUGUGCAGGGACACAGCGGUGGGCAAAGCUCACCCACACUCUGCCUCCUGACAAGGGUGAGUGACAAGAAUUCGAGGAUGAGGAGGAGGAGUCAGGGCCUGCUCAGUAAGCAGGUGGUGGGCAGAGGCAGGAGAUGGAGGCAGGCCGACCAGGGGCGGACAAGGCUACAGACAUCACCAAAACCCACUCCUUGGCAGAAGGACAGCCAAGGGCAGGUCCUUAGUAGGAGGCUGACAUAACUUCUCUUAUUUAAAAGAAAAGGCAGGUGGCUGGUUGAGGCAGGAUCUCACUCUGGCCUUCAACUCACUGUGUGGCCUAAGCUGGCCUCAAACUCAGUGAUCCUCCUGCUUCAACCUCCCAACUACUAGAAUAUAUUAUAAGCUCCCAAACAUUUUCUUUUUUACGGAUUUCUCUUUAAAAGUUGUUUAAUGAACAAGUGAAUGAAUUCAUUCCAUCUUAAUUGAACAGACAGUGAAACAUUAACUAUGUUCUCAAGCCUUAGAAGCUUGAGAAACACAUUUUUGUGAAAAAUGGUAUAAACAAACAAAGUUAUGUGUUCUGGGCAAGAGUGCUGUGCCCGGUGGGGGGUAGAGAGGCCAGGUGGGCCUCUGUCUUCACGGCCCCAGUUCCCAGCAGCCUCAGGUACCGGUAGCCACAGCCCCUAGGCCUGGGUGUUGUUUCUGGCCCCAGCUGCUUCUGCCUUCUUUACCAAAAUUACUCCCUUUUUGUUUAGUUGUUUUUAGAGACAGGGUUUCUCCUGGUACUCAUUAUGUAGACCAGACUGACCUCGA